AAGCCAUCUUGGUAAAUUUCCCCAACAGUGUGAAGUUAGAAUUCCUUCAGGGUGAUGCCAGGUUCUAUUUGGAAUUUAUAUACAACCUGCUUGGGUGGAGAAGCCAUUGUCUUCGGAAACCUUGGUGUAGUUGAACUGAUAGUUACUGUUGUGACCUGAAGUUCACCAUUAAAAGGGAUUACCCAAGCAAAAUCAUGGAAUGGUUAUAAAAGUGAUUGUUGGCACAUCCUAUGCAAUAUAUCUAAAUUGAAUAAUGGUACCAGAUAAAAUUAUAGAUGGGAAUGAAGCUUGUGUAUCAUCCAUUAUCAUGUGUAAUCAAUAAACGAUUUAAUUCUCUUGAAAAAAAAAA
rnacentral:lncRNA from 1 species